rnacentral:rRNA from 1 species
AUGGGGACGGCGGCGGCCGUGCUAGCGAUCGUGUCGCUGCUGUGCUGUGCGGUGGUGCAGGCGUCGCACGUCGUCUACCCGGAGCUCCAGUCGCUGGAGGCCAAGGAGGUUGCCACGGAGCUGCGCACCGGCUACCAUUUCCAACCCCCCAAGCACUGGAUCAAUGGGCCAAUGUACUACAAGGGCUUGUACCACCUCUUCUACCAGUACAACCCCAAAGGGGCCGUGUGGGCCCGCGAUCUACCCCACCAGGCCCUACGACGUCAACGGCUGCUGGUCAGGCUCCACCACCAUGUUGCCAACAUCUCGUACCCGGCCAACAUCUCCGAUCCCUUCCUCCGCGAGUGGGUCAAGCCCGAGUACAACCCCAUCAUCACCCCCGACCACGGCAUCAACGCGAGUGCUUUCCAGGACCCAACCACUGCUUGCCGAGACUUCAAGAAGUGGGUCAAGGCGCACCACUCCUUGCACGCCGGGAUGACCGGAAUGUGGGAAUGCCCUGACUUCUACCCCGUGGCGGUGGCCGGAGGCAACCAUCACCACCAGAGUGGUGUGGACACCACGGAGUUGCACGACCGAGUUGUGGCCGAGGAGGUCAAGUACGUGCUCAAGGAUAAUGACUAUGGCCUCCGCUAUGACUAUGGUGACUUCUACGCCUCCAAGUCCUUCGACCCGGCCAAGAACGCCGAGUGCUUUGGGGCUGGGCCAAUGAGUCUGACACCGUUACCGACGACCGCCACAAGAGCUGGGCCGGCAUCCAGGAAGAUCUUCUUGUCGCGAAGCGGGAGGCAGCUGAUCCAGUGGCCAGUGGAGGAGGUCAAGUCGCUGCGCUCAUGGCAUGUCAAUGUGAGCAACAAGGCCGUCAAGGGAGGCGAGUACUUUGAGUUCAACUCGCACGUCAAAGGUGGUGUUGGGCCAUUCGGGCUCUGGCUGCUAGCCUCCGACGACAUCGAGGAGAGGACAGCCGUCUUCUUCAGGGUGUUCAAGACCAACGACCCCAAUUACGUCGUCCUCAUGUGUAAUGACCCAACAAGGUCGUCGUACGAGUCACAGAUCUACAGGCCGACCUUUGCGGGCUUCGUCAACAUCGACAUAGCUAAGACCAAGAAGAUCGCACUCAGGACAUUGGUACGUAACUAA